rnacentral:lncRNA from 1 species
AAUUGCUAAUCGAUCCUCCUGCAACACUUGCACUGGAUUAAAUGUCAAUCGUAUUGAUCAUUUAACCCUAGAACGAUUCUUAAUCGUUGAUCAACCAUCCGAUCAGAUCAUGAACUCUAAUGUGUAUGACCUUAUAGGUCCGAACCUAAGCCGGUAAGAUAAGAAUAAAUUUCUAUACCAAUCGAAGUGACCAUCUAGCAAUGGUACCCGACGACCGGAUAGGUCGAAUGUAUAGAACAACAUCCUUAGAACCCAUGCGGAUAUAGUUUUCAUAUAAUUCAUCCCCUUGACCAAAAUGAU